GACGAACGCUGGCGGCGUGCCUAAUACAUGCAAGUCGAGCGAGCGGAACUAACAGAUUUACUUCGGUAAUGACGUUAGGAAAGCGAGCGGCGGAUGGGUGAGUAACACGUGGGGAACCUGCCCCAUAGUCUGGGAUACCACUUGGAAACAGGUGCUAAUACCGGAUAAGAAAGCAGAUCGCAUGAUCAGCUUUUAAAAGGCGGCGUAAGCUGUCGCUAUGGGAUGGCCCCGCGGUGCAUUAGCUAGUUGGUAAGGUAAAGGCUUACCAAGGCGAUGAUGCAUAGCCGAGUUGAGAGACUGAUCGGCCACAUUGGGACUGAGACACGGCCCAAACUCCUACGGGAGGCAGCAGUAGGGAAUCUUCCACAAUGGACGCAAGUCUGUUGGAGCAACGCCGCGUGAGUGAAGAAGGUUUUCGGAUCGUAAAGCUCUGUUGUUGGUGAAGAAGGAUAGAGGUAGUAACUGGACUUUAUUUGACGGUAAUCAACCAGAAAGUCACGGCUAACUACGUG
rnacentral:rRNA from 1 species